CUGUCAUCAGGAAUUUGGUCCGACUCCCACGCACUCCUAGAGGCAGCGAGGGGGAGGGGAAGGAUGCGGGAGGCAGAACUCCUGAGGGAGAGGAUGUGGCUGUCGGGCGGCUCUCCCAGGCUCCCUGCCUUGCACAGGCUGUGGGAGGGGACCACGGAGGCGAGGCGGCUACUCUGGUCUCCAGAGAUUGACUCCCGCUGACUGCCCCCCCCACCCCGGCCCCAGGUCGCUGGGGAGGGACCCUUGGGAGAGACAGCAGAGGCUGGGAGGAUGCAGCCCGCCUUAUGCUGGCUGGAGGAAGGCCUCCCCGUUUCACACUCAUCCCGCCUGGGGGCAGGGCCCGGCGCUCCAGGGUCCAGCCGGCCCAGGACUGGGCUCCGCACCACACUCGCCCCCCAACUUAUCCCCCACCCUGCCACUGGGGCUGUGGCACAGAGAUGGCAAACACCCCCCAAGGCCUUGUGCCAGGUAAUUACCAAGCAAAUUCCCGGCGAUUUCCUCUCCCCACCCUGGGCAGCGCCUGCUGCGCGUUCCCUGAUUCGGGCCCCGGCUGUGCAAUCAGCGCCCGGGAACCUGCGGGGACCCGUAAUUGCUCUGGAGUUGCCCAGGACUUUGCAAGGAUUUGCUGAGCGCUCCUGUGAAGUCAGAGUCAAUUUGGAGGCCUGCGCCUGACCCGGAAGCCUGCCAAGUGGGUGUGGGACGCCGCUUCCUCCAGCAGAGAGCGCAGUGCACGCCCUGGCUCACCGUCCUCCCUCCCGGGGGCUGUUCCCACUGUCGUGCUAAACACCAUCAGGGCUGUUAUUAAUAAUCCCAGGGCCUGUCAGGGUUGAAUGGAGGCAAGAACUGAAGCUGGCCUCUUCCAUCUGGACCCCAGAAGCUUCUUCAGUAGUUUCCUAUCUCCCUCGUACAAGCCUCCUCACUCAGAUGUACUCCUGAGCUGUACACAUAUCAUGUGCGUGCAUGCAUGUGCGUGCACACACAUGUGCGCACCCCAACCUAUACUUCAGCCACACCAUCUUCCCCACAAUUGCAUGUGCCCCCACCGAGUGCACACAGUGUGGGAGUACCAGCUCUUGCUUUGGGGUCAGACUGACCUGGAUUCAAGUCCUACCCCGCCACUUACUAGCCCUGCCAUCCCCCGUAAGUCACUCUACUUUUUUGGAGCCUCAGAAGUUUUGUAGACCGGAAAGAGGCAGAGCACCUGUCUUUCCUCGCGUGGCUGUUGAGAGAGAAGAUUAAAUGAGAUGAUGUGAAACAUUGGAGGAAGCAAGCAAUUAAAACAGACGUCGCUGCUACUAUUUCUAGCCUCUCUUUGAGAUUUUGCACGGGUAAUUGCUUCUGUAAAAAUUUCUCCCAUCAGAGCUGCAAACCAAGACUCUUCUCAAUCCCAAGGCCCAGUCUACACCCCAGUUUUGCCCCACCCAGCACCACCUUCUCCUUUUGGCCCCCGCCACAGCUGCGUGUAUCUCUUAGAGGUGUUUUCAUGCUGGAUUUGAGCUCUCAUUUUGAACUGGAGGAAAGCAGGGAUUUUGUCACCUUCAUCAUUUUAUCUCCUUUGCUCCAAUCCUGGAGUUUAGACCUAUACACACCUUAUAUAUAGUAGGUCUGCAAUACGUGUUUGUCUACUUUUCAAAAUAAUAGAUACCAUUUAGUGAACAAUUACUAUGUGCCU
ensembl:lncRNA